UACGGAGGGGGCUAGCGUUGUUCGGAAUUACUGGGCGUAAAGCGCACGUAGGCGGCUUUGCAAGUUAGAGGUGAAAGCCCGGGGCUCAACUCCGGAAUUGCCUUUAAAACUGCAUCGCUAGAAUUGUGGAGAGGUAAGUGGAAUUCCGAGUGUAGAGGUGAAAUUCGUAGAUAUUCGGAAGAACACCUGUGGCGAAAGCGGCUCACUGGACCACAACUGACGCUGAGGCGCGAAAGCUAGGGGAGCAAACAGG
rnacentral:rRNA from 1 species